CUGGGGAAUUCAAACUUGUGUUAAGAAAAUGUGUCCCAGUGUGCAAUGGCUGCAAAUAGCAGCUUCCUUGGUAGUGUAUGCAGCCUGUUUGUUGUAUGGGUUGCUCUAAAGGACCUUAGAGAGUCCU
ensembl:snoRNA SNORA70 Small nucleolar RNA SNORA70